UACGAAGGGUGCAAGCGUUACUCGGAAUUACUGGGCGUAAAGCGUGCGUAGGCGGUUCGUUAAGUCUGUCGUGAAAGCCCUGGGCUCAACCUGGGAAUUGCGAUGGAUACUGGCGAGCUAGAGUACGGUAGAGGAUGGUGGAAUUCCCGGUGUAGCGGUGAAAUGCGUAGAGAUCGGGAGGAACACCCGUGGCGAAGGCGGCGAGCUGGUCCAUUACUGACGCUGAGGCGCGACAGCGUGGGGAGCAAACAGG
rnacentral:rRNA from 1 species